CCUGUCGCUGCUGCUGGUCGCCGCUGCUGCUCAUCGCCGAGUGAUCUCCACAAAGCUACAACUUGUGAGUUUGCUAUUACUUGGAUUUUAAUGGUUUCACAUGAUGAUGUGCUCAUGCCGAGAGUAAAAACAGUAAAACUUGAAACAGAGUUUAACGUUGUUGGACUUGUGAGUGUUUGCUGUUGGGGUAGAUUUAGAUGAGCCGAGUUGGUUAGCUUCAUAGCUUUUCAAUAAUUUGCUUUGAUUAUUGUGUAAUAUAUGAUAAUUUUGUGACGAUGGUGGUUUAUAUAUGUGAUUAAAAGCUAAACUAGUGGAUUUGUAAGCAUGCAC
rnacentral:lncRNA from 1 species